UCUGAAAUUGAUCAAUAACUGAUUUAGAAUGAGUCAGAAUAUCUAAAAUAUAUACACAUCAGCUUUCGUAUACUAAUUAACAUGCAAACUCGUGCAGCUAGCUACACUUAAUGUUAAAUUUUAAAUCGAUGGCAAUAAUCCAUCAGAACUUUGGCUCGAAAUCUAAACUCAAACGCAACUAAAAGAAAUAACCAACAUGAAGAUGCCUCCGCUAUUCCCCAUAAUGAUUUUAAUAGUAAUUGGAUUAAAUUAUCGAAGCAAGUAGUACAAAUAAACAUUUACAUAGCAUGAGCUCAUGUGUUUUUCAUAAUAUUAUUUAAAUGAAGCCUCAUUUAAUUGAUAUAUACAAUUUGUUACGCAUGCAGAUGUUUACCUUAUGGGCCAAAAGCGACAAUCUUCAUCAACUGAGGAGUCGUUUUGGGUUUCACUGUGGAACGCGCAAAAUGAAUGCAAAUGAAAAGCCAAGGAAAACAACAGACAGAGUACAUAUAGAGAGAUAGAUAGGAAUAGAGUACAUAGACAUUAAGAGAAGAAGCACAGAUAUGAAACUUGGCUGAGUAUAUGAGUAUGAAGCACUAGUACACACAGUUCCAAUUAAUGCCUGGGCAAGAUUCGACGCGGAUUACUUACGGAUUCGUGGACAGGGAAUCGGUGCGGCUGCCAUUGUUCGCCUCCAGGCUGCUGGGAGUUCGCUUUUUGGCGGCACGCUUGAAAUUCUCGCUGAAAUAGUCGCGUCCAUUCUGGGAGCUGGUCGUCGUUUGGCCACUUUUCGCCUGCUGUGUGGGCGGCACUGUGUGCGGAUACUUGCCAUCGCUGUCCGAGUCCAUGGACAGGUGUCCGAACAGAUCCUCCAGCAGGAUGUUCGAUUUGGCGUUGCGCUGACGUUUCGCCGACGUUUUCAGUUUCGAGCUGUGUCAAUGGAUCAAACAUUUUUCAAACUAUUUACAAACACACAUCAAAAGCCACGAAUUGCAUCAAAACAGUGCUCGAACAUUUCAAACUAUUGAAAUAAUUGACAACACAGACCAACACACAAAUACACCCGAUACUGGGGACGUGCAGGGUACAAAUCGAAUUUACAACUUUGAAAAGAUGUACAUAAAUUGAUUCCUAUCGCUUGAGUAUAGUA